GUUAAGAUUAAGAUAUGUUUAUAUUAUUUAUAUGGUAACUAUUUACAUACAAGUUUAUGUAAGUUAUUAUUUGUGUAUGUAUGUUGUUAUAAUUAUUUCUACAGCGUCAUCUAGUUGGGACCAAACGUGUUGAAUGUACUUCUGUGGUUCUAAUUACAUUUACCUGGAGCUCGGUCAUCCUGGCCUCUCAUUGGUUGGCUCUGGAACUUGUAAUGGAGUGACAAGGAAGUGUUGUUAUGCCGAUCGAGUGUGCUAAAAAGUAAAGUGCUUCAAGACAGUGUUAUGUACAAGGUCAGAGAGGGAAUGAGGAGGAGGGGAAUCAUGAUUUGUUCAGAUCUUCAGGUGUCUCUAGGAAACAUCCAUCAAAGCUGAAGGACUUCAAUGACUUUGUACCAAUAUGGAAGCGAACCCUAGAACCACCAGAUACCCCAAUUGCCAGCCUCAGCCGCCUGUGAGCGUCUCUUCAGCUGUGCUGGACUCCUGUUUACUGCAAAUGGAACAAGGAUGACCUCUUCUAACUUUGAAAACCAGCUUCUGCUCAAACUAAACAGGAAGUUUAGUGAGUAAUGUUGAAAAGAAGAAACCACAACAAAGGAACUUUAAUUAAAACAUACAGUGGGGCAGGGCAAUUUUCUGUGUAGCAGCUGCCAUGUGGUUCAUUUGACACGUUUUUUUUUUUGGACAGAAUAUUCUAUUGUGUUGACAUGUUUCAUGUUGUUAAUACACUUCAUUUGUAAAGAUUUCCCUUAAUUAAACAACAACAACUUUUUAAAUUCAAA